UCCGUUGUAGUCCAGCGGUUAGGAUUCCUGGCUUUCACCCAGGCGACCCGGGUUCGAUUCCCGGCAACGGAA